rnacentral:rRNA from 1 species
CCUACGGGAGGCAGCAGUGAGGAAUAUUGGUCAAUGGACGGAAGUCUGAACCAGCCAUGCCGCGUGCAGGAUGACGGCUCUAUGAGUUGUAAACUGCUUUUGUACGAGAAUAAUAGUUCUUACGUGUAGGGAUAUGAAUGUAUCGUAAGAAUAAGGAUCGGCUAACUCCGUGCCAGCAGCCGCGGUAAUACGGAGGAUGCGAGCGUUAUCCGGAUUUAUUGGGUUUAAAGGGUGCGUAGGCGGUCCGUUAAGUCAGCGGUAAAAUUGCGGGGCUCAACCCCGUCGAGCCGUUGAAACUGGCAGACUUGAGUUGGCGAGAAGUACGCGGAAUGCGCGGUGUAGCGGUGAAAUGCAUAGAUAUCGCGCAGAACUCCGAUUGCGAAGGCAGCGUACCGGCGCCAGACUGACGCUGAGGCACGAAAGCGUGGGGAUCGAACAGGAUUAGAUACCCGGGUAGUC